rnacentral:rRNA from 1 species
GGCAGGCUGAGUUUGAUCUUGGCUCAGGAGUCGUACCAAGGUACCAGUUUGGUCCCGGGUUCGGGAAUCCGUAACAGGGAAAAAUUUAAUCCGGGCUUGAGUCUGGGAUAAGCCGGGACAACUGGGUCUAAUACCGGAUAUGACUGACCGUCGCAUGGUGGUUGGUGGAAAGCUUUUGUGGUUUUGGAUGGACUCGCGGCCUAUCAGCUUGUUGGUGAGGUAAUGGCUUACCAAGGCGACGACGGGUAGCCGGCCUGAGAGGGUGACCGGCCACACUGGGACUGAGACACGGCCCAGACUCCUACGGGAGGCAGCAGUGGGGAAUAUUGCACAAUGGGCGCAAGCCUGAUGCAGCGACGCCGCGUGAGGGAUGACGGCCUUCGGGUUGUAAACCUCUUUCAGUAGGGAAGAAGCCGUAAGGUGACGGUACCUGCAGAAGAAGCGCCGGCUAACUACGUGCCAGCAGCCGCGGUAAUACGUAGGGCGCAAGCGUUAUCCGGAAUUAUUGGGCGUAAAGAGCUCGUAGGCGGUUUGUCGCGUCUGCCGUGAAAUGUCCCGGGGCUCAACUCCGGGAUCUGCGGUGGGUACGGGCAGACUAGAGUGAUGUAGGGGAGACUGGAAUUCCUUGGUGUAGCGGUGAAAUGCGCAGAUAUCAGGAGGAACACCGAUGGCGAAGGCAGGUCUCUGGGCAUUAACUGACGCUGAGGAGCGAAAGCAUGGGGAGCGAACAGGAUUAGAUACCCUGGUAGUCCAUGCCGUAAACGUUGGGCACUAGGUGUGGGGGACAUUCCACGUUUUCCGCGCCGUAGCUAACGCAUUAAGUGCCCCGCCUGGGGAGUACGGCCGCAAGGCUAAAACUCAAAGGAAUUGACGGGGGCCCGCACAAGCGGCGGAGCAUGCGGAUUAAUUCGAUGCAACGCGAAGAACCUUACCAAGGCUUGACAUGAACCGGACCGCUGCAGAAAUGUGGUUUCCCCUUUGGGGCUGGUUUACAGGUGGUGCAUGGUUGUCGUCAGCUCGUGUCGUGAGAUGUUGGGUUAAGUCCCGCAACGAGCGCAACCCUCGUUCUAUGUUGCCAGCACGUGAUGGUGGGGACUCAUAGGAGACUGCCGGGGUCAACUCGGAGGAAGGUGGGGACGACGUCAAAUCAUCAUGCCCCUUAUGUCUUGGGCUUCACGCAUGCUACAAUGGCCGGUACAAAGGGUUGCGAUACUGUGAGGUGGAGCUAAUCCCAAAAAGCCGGUUUCAGUUCGGAUUGGGGUCUGCAACUCGACCCCAUGAAUUCGGAGUCGCUAGUAAUCGCAGAUCAGCUUUAAU